GUGUUGUAAGUGUUUAAGGGCGCAUGGUGGAUGCCUUGGCAUUGGGAGCCGAUGAAGGACGUAGGAGGCUGCGAUAAGCCUCGGGGAGCUGUCAACCGAGCGUUGAUCCGAGGAUGUCCGAAUGGGGAAACCCGGCACGAGUGAUGUCGUGUCACCCGCAUCUGAAUAUAUAGGGUGCGGGGGGGAACGCGGGGAAGUGAAACAUCUCAGUACCCGUAGGAAGAGAAAACAAGUAAGUGAUUCCGUUAGUAGUGGCGAGCGAACGCGGAGGAUGGCUAAACCGUAUGCAUGUGAUACCCGGCAGGGGUUGUGUGUGCGGUGUUGUGGGGCCUGUCUUCUCAGAUCUGCCGGUCUGGGCAGCAGUCAGAAAAGAAUGUGUUAAUCGAAGUGGCCUGGGAUGGUCUGCCGUAGUGGGUGAGAGCCCCGUAGGUGAAAACAUGUUCUCUGCUGUGAUGGGUUCCCGAGUAGCAGCGGGCCCGUGAAAUCUGCUGUGAAUCUGCCGGGACCACCCGGUAAGCCUGAAUACUUCCCAAUGACCGAUAGCGGAUUAGUACCGUGAGGGAAUGGUGAAAAGUACCCCGGGAGGGGAGUGAAAUAGUACCUGAAACCGUGUGCCUACAAUCCGUCAGAGCCCUCCUUCGUGGUGGGGUGAUGGCGUGCCUUUUGAAGAAUGAGCCUGCGAGUCAGGGACAUGUCGCGAGGUUAACCCGGGUGGGGUAGCCGUAGCGAAAGCGAGUCUGAAUAGGGCGUAUCCACACAAGAGUGUGUGGUGUAGUGGUGUGUUCUGGACCCGAAGCGGAGUGAUCUACCCAUGGCCAGGGUGAAGCGCGGGUAAGACCGCGUGGAGGCCCGAACCCACUUAGGUUGAAGACUGAGGGGAUGAGUUGUGGGUAGGGGUGAAAGGCCAAUCAAACUCCGUGAUAGCUGGUUCUCCCCGAAAUGCAUUUAGGUGCAGCGUUGCGUGUUUCUCACCGGAGGUAGAGCUACUGGAUGGCCGAUGGGCCCCACAGGGUUACUGACGUCAGCCAAACUCCGAAUGCCGGUGAGUCUAAGAGCGCAGCAGUGAGACGGCGGGGGAUAAGCUCCGUGCGUCGAGAGGGAAACAGCCCAGAUCGCCGGCUAAGGCCCCUAAGCGUGUGCUAAGUGGAAAAGGAUGUGCAGUCGCAGAGACAACCAGGAGGUUGGCUUAGAAGCAGCCACCCUUGAAAGAGUGCGUAAUAGCUCACUGGUCAAGUGAUUGUGCGCCGAUAAUGUAGCGGGGCUCAAGCACACCGCCGAAGCCGCGGCAACGACCUUGUGUCGUUGGGUAGGGGAGCGUCCUGCAUCCGGUGAAGCCGCAGAGUGAUCUAGUGGUGGAGGGUGUGGGAGUGAGAAUGCAGGCAUGAGUAGCGAUAAGGCAAGUGAGAACCUUGCCCGCCGAAAGACCAAGGGUUCCUGGGGCAGGCCAGUCCGCCCAGGGUGAGUCGGGACCUAAGGCGAGGCCGACAGGCGUAGUCGAUGGACAACGGGUUGAUAUUCCCGUACCCGUGUGUGAGCGCCCAUGAUGAAUCAGGGGUACUAACCGCCCAAAACUGUCGUUACCGAUCACCUUCGGG
rnacentral:rRNA from 1 species